AGGCCUAACACAUGCAAGUCGAACGGACGAGCAGGAGCUUGCUUCUGUGAGUAAGUGGCGGACGGGUGAGUAACGCGUGAGCAACCUGCCUUUCAGAGGGGGAUAACGUCUGGAAACGGACGCUAAUACCGCAUAAGCUCCGAGGAUCGCAUGGUCUCAGGAGCAAAGGAGGAAUCCGCUGAAAGAUGGGCUCGCGUCCGAUUAGGUAGUUGGUGAGGGUAACGGCCCACCAAGCCGACGAUCGGUAGCCGGACUGAGAGGUUGAACGGCCACAUUGGGACUGAGACACGGCCCANACUCCUACGGGAGGCAGCAGUGGGGAAUAUUGGUCAAUGGGGGAAACCCUGAANCAGCAACGCCGCGUGAGGGAAGAAGGUCUUCGGAUUGUAAACCUUUGUCC
rnacentral:rRNA from 1 species